rnacentral:lncRNA from 1 species
GAGCGCCUGACGCCGCGUGAUGAAACUGCCUCGCUCAGUGCCCUCUGUGCCCCAUCCUAAUCCUCCUGCCAGGUGUAGGGGCAGGCUGGGGCCUGCAUUUCUGGGGUGGGGCCUGAGGGAGAAGGGAGAAAUGUGAGCCCAUUCUGUACCUCUGCUGAAGUACGGCACUCAUCCUGGGCCCUCCAUUUUAUAAGCCUCUCCCUUACUCCUGUCGCGUGCCUUGGCCUCCCGCCCUCAUAAACGCCAUCAGGCAGGGCCCUCCUACACUACAGAGGGGCCAGGGGUCCCUCUCCUAGUGCCUUCUACCCUUGACCCCCCCAGAGCAGCUUGGCCCCGGGGAGGGGAGAUGCUGCUUAGCUGAUCCCACCCUGACCCAGAGGAAGGCCUCUAUUUAUUUAUUAGCUUUUGUUUACACCCUGGAAUGACCCCUUCCUCCAGGGGUCUUGGGAGGGGGAGCCCAGGGCCUCUGUGACCCCCCUCCUUUCUUUCCCCAAGCCCCCAGUUUAUAUUUAGCUGCCAAAUAAGAUUCUUGCAGGCUCCCCCUUUUCUCUGGGGGGUUAGGGUGCUGUCCCCUCCCCUCUGUUUACAUCUCCUACCCCGCUGUUCGCAUAUUGCUGAGUUUUCUAUUUUUGCAAAAUAAAGUGAUGGAAACUCAA